UUCAACUACUGACCAGAAAGAAGACAGCCAGUCAACAGCAAUCUAAUGUUCACCAUCCACGCUAGGAAUAUGUUGUGCGUAAAGCUACACAUCGAAUUGUCUGCGCUUUGUAUACUGCGAGAAAUCGAACCCUGGAUGUCUUUAAUCGUAUCGUUCGUACACCGGGGACCUUCAACUGUUGCCGUAGCCAGCCUUGUGUGAUUGCGUGAGAUCAGCGACGCAAGAUUGAGGAACAGCUGUAGGUGUGUUUGAGUAACACGAGCUUCUGAG